rnacentral:misc_RNA from 1 species
UUUGUGAAAACUCUGUUGCUUCGGGGGCGACCCCGCCGUUUCGGCGACGGCGCCCCCGGAGGUCAUCAAACACUGCAUCUUUGCGUCGGAGUCUUAAAGUAAAUUUAAACAAAACUUUCAACAACGGAUCUCUUGGUUCUGGCAUCGAUGAAGAACGCAGCGAAAUGCGAUAAGUAAUGUGAAUUGCAGAAUUCAGUGAAUCAUCGAAUCUUUGAACGCACAUUGCGCCCCGUGGUAUUCCGCGGGGCAUGCCUGUUCGAGCGUCAUUUCACCACUCAAGCCUAGCUUGGUAUUGGGCGUCGCGGUUCCGCGCGCCUUAAAGUCUCCGGCUGAGCAGUUCGUCUCUAAGCGUUGUGGCAUAUAUUUCGCUGAAGAGUUCGGACGGCUUUUGGCCGUUAAAUCUUUCUUAAGG